rnacentral:rRNA from 1 species
UGCCAGCCGCCGCGGUAAUACGGAGGGUGCAAGCGUUAAUCGGAAUUACUGGGCGUAAAGCGCGCGUAGGUGGUCUGUUAAGUCGGAUGUGAAAGCCCCGGGCUCAACCUGGGAACUGCAUUCGAUACUGGCAGACUAGAGUGCGGGAGAGGGAGGUAGAAUUCCAUGUGUAGCGGUGAAAUGCGUAGAUAUGUGGAGGAAUACCAGUGGCGAAGGCGGCCUCCUGGCUCGACACUGAAAGACGAAAGCUAGGGGAGCAAAUGGGAUUAGAUA